rnacentral:rRNA from 1 species
AGAUUGAACGCUGGCGGCAGGCCUAACACAUGCAAGUCGAGCGGUAGAGAGGUGCUUGCACCUCUUGAGAGCGGCGGACGGGUGAGUAAUGCCUAGGAAUCUGCCUAGUGGUGGGGGAUAACGUUCGGAAACGGACGCUAAUACCGCAUACGUCCUACGGGAGAAAGCGGGGGACCUUCGGGCCUCGCGCCAUUAGAUGAGCCUAGGUCGGAUUAGCUAGUUGGUGAGGUAAUGGCUCACCAAGGCGACGAUCCGUAACUGGUCUGAGAGGAUGAUCAGUCACACUGGAACUGAGACACGGUCCAGACUCCUACGGGAGCAGCAGUGGGGAAUAUUGGACAA